AGUGAACGCUGGCGGUAGGCCUAACACAUGCAAGUCGAACGGCAGCACAGGAGAGCUUGCUCUCUGGGUAGCGAGUGGCGGACGGGUGAGGAAUACAUCGGAAUCUACUUUUUCGUGGGGGAUAACGUAGGGAAACUUACGCUAAUACCGCAUACGACCUACGGGUGAAAGCAGGGGACCUUCGGGCCUUGCGCGAUUGAAUGAGCCGAUGUCGGAUUAGCUAGUUGGCGGGGUAAAGGCCCACCAAGGCGACGAUCCGUAGCUGGUCUGAGAGGAUGAUCAGCCACACUGGAACUGAGACACGGUCCAGACUCCUACGGGAGGCAGCAGUGGGGAAUAUUGGACAAUGGGCGCAAGCCUGAUCCAGCCAUACCGCGUGGGUGAAGAAGGCCUUCGGGUUGUAAAGCCCCUUUGUUGGGAAAGAAAUCCAGCUGGCUAAUACCCGGUUGGGAUGACGGUACCCAAAGAAUAGGCACCGGCUAACUUCGUGCCAGCCGCCGCAGUAA
rnacentral:rRNA from 1 species